rnacentral:rRNA from 1 species
CGUAGGUACGAGCGUUGUCCGGAAUUAUUGGGCGUAAAGAGCUCGUAGGUGGUUGGUCACGUCUGCUGUGGAAACGCAACGCUUAACGUUGCGCGUGCAGUGGGUACGGGCUGACUAGAGUGCAGUAGGGGAGUCUGGAAUUCCUGGUGUAGCGGUGAAAUGCGCAGAUAUCAGGAGGAACACCGGUGGCGAAGGCGGGACUCUGGGCUGUAACUGACACUGAGGAGCGAAAGCAUGGGAGCGAACAGGAUU